rnacentral:rRNA from 1 species
UCCUACGGGAGGCAGCAGUGGGGAAUAUUGGGCAAUGGGCGCAAGCCUGACCCAGCAACGCUGCGUGAAGGAAGAAGGCUUUCGGGUUGUAAACUUCUUUUAUUGAGGACGAAACAAAUGACGGUACUCAAUGAAUAAGCCACGGCUAACUACGUGCCAGCAGCCGCGGUAAUACGUAGGUGGCAAGCGUUAUCCGGAUUUAUUGGGUGUAAAGGGCGUGUAGGCGGGAACGCAAGUCAGAUGUGAAAACUCCGGGCUCAACCCUGAGCCUGCAUUUGAAACUGUGUUUCUUGAGUGCUGGAGAG